AGUACAUUUUUAAAUUUAAAAUUGGAUUUUAUGAGUUUUUAUUGUGAUUUGCUAGAUUUUGGUAGUUUUUAUGUAUCUUUAUGCUAACCUUCGGGGACAUCGCCAUCGCCAUCUGCCCCGAUUGUGACUCCCCUUCCCUCAUCUCUUUCACCGAGUCUCCUUUUUUCAGGUGAGGCUGGGAAUUGUUCUUUUACGUUUGUGUUUGAACCAAGAUUCAUCUUCGAAAUAAUCUUUGCUGCACUAUCUUCUUCACCUGCGGCCUCCGCCAAGCGGUUUUCUGCAAUAAGUAGUCUUGGAGUAUUUAUAUUAACCCUUCAUUACCAUUUAUUUUUUUUAUUUGAAUUCAAGAAUUGAUUUCCCUUUUCUUGGGGUGCACGAAGAAGGACGACUCAUUUGGACAGGUUGCAGGAAUCAGAUUUUUUAUUGUACUUCCGAUGAAGCAAGGUGUGAUUACGGAAAUACUAUUGGUGGAUUUAUAUUGAUUGGAAUGAGACGUAGCAUCAGAGAGGAAAACGCCCACAUUGUGGUUAAGCAAAAAGAAUUUAAUUUCACACAUUUUCGAAGGUGAUAAUUUUUUUUAUUGAGUUGGAUUAUUUUUCACUGUCUAAACAAGAAUCAAUGUGUUUUGAUAUGAAUAGAUUGUGACCAACUAUUGGUUUUGCAGAUAGUCAAUUCAAACCCCUAAUACCAAUUGUGUUUUAUAUUGCUUUAGUUCCCUUUUCUGAAAUCAGUGACAAUUGCUAGGGAUUAAACAUGGUACCUUAGGAUUUUGUGGCAGAGCAGCUCAAGUCGGUGCUCUCUGAUAUGCAUGUUGAUGUGGUAAGUCAAAACAGUGAGUACUGCAGCUCUUAUUUCCAAGUAUUCCCCAUAUUCAGUAAUUUUGAAAUUUGAUCUACUUAGUUCGUGAAGCAUGCUUAUUGUAGUGUAGAGCUUGGAAAUGUGGUAAUUUGAUCUCAUGAUUCUACUUAUUUUCCCAAUCCAAGGUUGGUGAAGCAUGCUUACAUCGGUGCUUUCUAUCAGCUAACACAUGGUUGUUUUCCAAAUUUUAUCAUUUUGGUUGUCAAGGUAUUGCUUCCCUCCUGUCCGUUGCUCCCAUGAUCACUCUCAUUAGCAUUUUCAUCAAAAGCGUUAGUUUCUGCUGGUCCACGCACAUUUGAUGAUAUACAUUGCUGAGUAGCUUUGGUCGAGCUUUUCACUGAGAGAUCAUGGUCUGAUCGAAGAUCUUAAGCAGCUUCCUCUUUUUUCUUUAAUGGCCUCUAUUUCACAGUGUGCAUAUGGUUAAGCAGAGAGAGUGAAACACUGGCAAAGGGAUUGUACAAAUUGAUGAGGUUAGCUCUGAUUGCAAAUGCAUCUAUUUAGUUAAGCAUGAUCAACCUCCAUACUUUUAAAAGGAAUUCCUCCCCUAAAAUAUGGAUUUUAAUAUAGCGUAAGGAUGCAAUA